rnacentral:rRNA from 1 species
GACAGAGGAGGCAAGCGUUAUCCGGAAUUAUUGGGCGUAAAGCGUUCGUAGGUGGUCUAACCAGUCUGGGGUUAAAGCCCGGAGCCCAACUCCGGAUCGGCCUUGGAAACUGUCAGACUCGAGUAAGGUAGGGGUUGCGGGAAUUCCCGGUGUAGCGGUGAAAUGCGUAGAUAUCGGGAAGAACACCAGCGGCGAAAGCGCGCAACUGGGCCAUUACUGACACUGAGGGACGAAAGCUAGGGGAGCGAAUGGG